AGGGUUUGACAUACAAGUAGUGGAAGGAAACUGGACGACCCUUCGGGGAGCUUGUACAGGUGCUGCAUGGCUGUCGUCAGCUCGUGUCGUGAGAUGUCGGUUAAGUCCGCUAACGAGCGCAACCCUCGCUGUGUGUUACAAGUGUCACACGGAACUGCCGGUCAUAAACCGGAGGAAGGUGGGGAUGACGUCAAGUCAGCAUGGCCUUUAUAUCCUGGGCUACACACACGCUACAAUGGGAAGGGACAAUAGGUUGCGAAGCCGCGAGGCGGAGCCAAUCCAGCAAAACUUCCCUCAGUUCAGAUUGCAGGCUGCAACCCGCCUGCAUGAAGUUGGAGUUGCUAGUAAACGCAGGUCAGCCAUACUGCGUUGAAUACGUUCCCGGGGCUU
rnacentral:rRNA from 1 species